CAGUCGCCGCGGGAAUACGUAGGGUGCAAGCGUUAAUCGGAAUUACUGGGCGUAAAGCGUGCGCAGGCGGUUUGUUAAGACAGAUGUGAAAUCCCCGGGCUCAACCUGGGAACUGCAUUUGUGACUGGCAAGCUAGAGUGUGGCAGAGGGGGGUGGAAUUCCACGUGUAGCAGUGAAAUGCGUAGAGAUGUGGAGGAACACCGAUGGCGAAGGCAGCCCCCUGGGCCAAUACUGACGCUGAGGCGCGAAAGCUAGGGGAGCAAACAGGAUUAGAUACCCGCGUAGUCCCUGUCUCUUAUAC
rnacentral:rRNA from 1 species